rnacentral:tRNA from 1 species
GCAAUCUUAGUUUAAUCUAAAAUAAUAGUUUGUCUCACUGUUGAUGGCAUAAUUGCUAGGUUGCU